rnacentral:rRNA from 1 species
AGCUCCAUUAGUGUAUAUUAAAGUUGUUGCGGUUAAAAAGCUCGUAGUUGGAUUUCUGUCGGGGGUGGCCGGUCCGGUCUAUGACUGCGUAUCAGGUCCAGCCUUGGCAUCCUCGUAUUCUUGCUGUCAUUAAUUUGGCAGUGGGAUUGCGACUUUUACUUUGAGGAAAUUAGAGUGUUCACGGCAGGCUAUCGCCCUGAAUAUGUUAGCAUGGAAUAAUAAAACAGGACCUUGGAUCUAUUUUGUUGGUUUCUAGAACUAAGGUAAUGAUUAAUAGGGACAAUUGGGGGCAUUCGUAUUGACGCGUCAGAGGUGGAAUUCUUGGAUUGCGUUACGACGAACUACUGCGAAAGCAUUUGCCAAGGAUGUUUUCA